rnacentral:lncRNA from 10 species
AACACGAGCGAAACUCCCAUCUCAAAAAAAAAAACAAAAAAAACACAAAACACACACACAAAAAAAACUCCUGGGCGGAAGCGAUCCUCCUGCCUUGCUCUCCCAAACUGUUACAGGCGGAGUCACCACGCCUGGCCUUAAUUUCCUUUUUGAUUGUUUAUUGCUGGUGCAUAUAAAUACAACUUAUUUUUAUCUUGAUCUCGUACACUACCACACUGCUGAAUUCAUGUGUCAGGCUCUAGUAGGUUGAGUGUGUGUGUAUUCUGUGGAAGUUUCUACACAUAAUCAUUCCAUCUGCAAGGAGAGUUUUCACCCCUUCCAAUGUAGAUGCCUGCGUUUCUUGGUCAAUGGCUCUAGCUAAGACUUCCAGUACAGUGCUGACCAGCAGUAGUGAAGGCAGGUAUUCUUGUUCCUGAUCUGAAAGGAAAAGCUUUCAGUCUUUUACUGCUGAGUAUGUAUACGGUUAGCUCUGGGUCUCUUUGCAUUUUUCCUGCUUGGAUUUCGUUGAGCUUAUUGGAUGUGUAGAUUCAUGUCUUUAUCAGAUCAGGGAAGUUUUCAUUGAUUAUUUCCUGAAGUGUGUCUUCUUCUCUUUCUCUGCUUCUGAAAUUUCAUAAUGCUUAUGUUGUUAUGCUCGAUGGUAUCCCAUAGGCCCCUUAUUGUUCACUUUCCCUGCAUUCUUCUUCUCUGCUGCUUAGACUGGGUAAUUUCACUGACCUACCUUCAAGUUCACGGCUGCUUUCUGAUGCCUGCUGAAAUCCAAAUUCCUUUAGUGAAUUUCUUAUGUUAGCUAUUUUACUUUUCAGGCCUAGACUUUCUUUUUAGUCUCUUUUUAUAAUUUCUAUUUUCUGCUAUUUCCAAAUGUUUCACACUGUUCAUAUUUCUUUCUUUUUGGGGCAGAGGGAGGGGCAGUGUCUGGCUCUACUGUUCAGGCUAAACUGCAGUGGUGUGAUCACGGUGUACUGAGGCCUUAACUUCCCAGGUUCAAGCAAUCUUCCCACCUGAACCUUCGGAGUAGCUGGGACCUCAGACACAUGCCACCAUGCCUAGCUGAUUUUUUUUUUUUUUUGGUAGAGACAGAGUCCCACUAUGUUGCCCAGCCUGGUCUUGAGCUCUUGGGCUCAAGCUGUCUCCCCAUUUUAGCCUCCCAAAGUGCUGAGACUGUAGGCGUGAGCCACCACACCUGGCUUUGUUCUUAUUUUACUUCUUUGUCCUGGUUCCCUUCAGCCCCUUGAGCAUAUUUAAGACAAAGUGUUUGUCUAGUAAGUCCAAUUUCCAGGCUUCUUCAAGGAUGGUUUCUGUCACUAUGUCCCCUGCCCCAACCUCAUGAAUGGCUCAUUGUUCUUAUUCCUUUGUGUGUUUCGUUCUGUUCUGUUUUGAGACAGAGUUUCACUCUUGUCACCCAGGCUGGAGUGCAAUGGCGAGGUCUCGGCUCACUGCAACCUCUGCCUCCUGGCUUCAAAGUGAUUCUCCUGCCUCAGCCUCCUGAGUAGCUGGGAUCACAGAUGCGUGCCAUCACACCUGGCUAGUUUUUGUAUUUUUGGUAGAGAUGGGGUUUCACCUUCUUGGCCAGGCUGGUCUUCAACUCCUGACCUCAGGUAAUCCACCCACCUUGGCCUCCGAAAGUGCUGGGAUUUCAGGCGUGAGCCACCACACCCAGCCUGUUUUCUAUUUUUUUUUUUUUUUUUUUAAUUAGAAGUGGCCAAGCAUGGUGGCUCAUGCUUGUAAUCCCAGUACUUUGGGAGGCCAAGGCAGGAGAAUAGCUUGAGUCCAGGAGUUCGAGACCAUCCUGGGCAACAUAGCAAGACCCGUCUCUACAAAUAAAAAAAAGUUUUAUUUUUUCCCCUCAAUUUUGAUUUCUUUUUUCAAUUUUGUUGCCUGCUUGCUUUACAUUUACUUUGUUGUUGUUGUUUUUGAGACGGAGUCUCGCUCU